rnacentral:rRNA from 1 species
GAAUUUUGGACAAUGGGCGCAAGCCUGAUCCAGCCAUGCCGCGUGCGGGAAGAAGGCCUUCGGGUUGUAAACCGCUUUUGGCAGGAACGAAACGGCGCGAGAUAACACCUCGCGUUAAUGACGGUACCUGCAGAAUAAGCACCGGCUAACUACGUGCCAGCCGCCGCGGUAAUACGAAGGGUGCAAGCGUUAAUCGGAAUUACUGGGCGUAAAGCGCGCGUAGGUGGUUCAGUAAGUUGGAUGUGAAAUCCCCGGGCUCAACCUGGGAACUGCAUCCAAAACUGCUGAACUAGAGUACGGUAGAGGGUGGUGGAAUUUCCUGUGUAGCGGUGAAAUGCGUAGAUAUAGGAAGGAACACCAGUGGCGAAGGCGACCACCUGGACUGAUACUGACACUGAGGUGCGAAAGCGUGGGGAGCAAACAGG